rnacentral:lncRNA from 1 species
CGGACCGCCGGGCAGGGCUCACGGCCCGGGGGCUUCCCGCAGAGCUGGGGGGCGGGGCUGGGCCCUGGGCCCCGCCCUCAUGCCGCCCUCCCCGUCUCCUUCAGGUGGAGGGUCGGCACCGCCCCCAGGCCCCGGAGCUCCCGCAGCCUCCGCCCCGCCGCAGGUAAGCCCCGCCCGCCGCGGGUAAGCCCCGCCCGCCGCAGGUAAGCCCCGCCCCGCCUCUGAUUGGCAGCUGCGGCUCGAAAGGGCGGCCCCAGACCUGGGCGUGGCCCCGCGCGCAGUUUGCGGAGCUUCGGCUUCGUGGGAGGGCGCGGGCUUUCCCAGCUGCUGCGGGUCCUUGCCUCGGGAAGUACCUGAAAUUCCCUGGCUCCCUGUCCCAUCUCUGAAGAUCGACUGUGAAUAUGUAAGCUUCUGCCACCAAACUGCUGCCCAGGUGGAGGACACUGAUUCCAAUGACUACGUCAAUGUUGCCUGCCUGACUCACCUCUCCAGCUGUGCCCCUGGGCCCAGACCUUGGUGUCAAUGAGUCUUGUCUGUCUGCUGGUUCCCAACACCCACUCCAUCUGUUUCAGAAGCCUCGUUACCUCCCCACCUCAAGUCUCGUCCCUGCCUGUUUGCCCCAAGCACUGAUCAGUCUCCCCUCCUCCAGCUCUCCUUACACACUUUUGAGCCCCCGGUGGUUUUCACGUGGCCUCUGGGAAUGCAGAGCAUUUGCCCUGAUGCCACCUGCCUCCUCUCCAAACCAUGUGACAGGCUAUGGUCUUGCAGAGUCUUUUUGAUCACAGGGUCCUUACUCCCCUGGCUCUAGACCACAUGGCCUUGGGCUGGAGUGGAGGCAUAGCUGUUGCUUUGAAAGCUUGAGUUCCCCACCGGCAGAAGGUACCUGGACUGCCCUGUGAAGACACGCUUCAGCCCUGAGCUAGGAAGGGACCUUGGUAUGAAAUACCCCUGGCAACCUCUUUGCCCCAGUCUUAGGGCUAGCACUUACUAGUGAUCUUCUGUUUGUCUGGAGUCCUCUGGUGAUGGCAGUUUAUUUGGAUGUGAUGAAGGGUUGUAAAUUUUCAGAACCAUCCUUGUUAGUGACACACGUGGAUAACCUCUUUAGGUCUUCCUCCCUUGAUCCACGUAAGGACCCCGACUCCAGCAUUUUCUCUCUUUGAGAAAUAGAAUAGCUUUUGUUAUCUAUUUAUCCUUCUUCUAUAGCCUAGUACUAUCUUAGCCGUGGUCUAUUUGACCUAUCCAA